rnacentral:rRNA from 1 species
GUGCCAGCAGCCGCGGUAAUACGGAGGAUCCGAGCGUUAUCCGGAUUUAUUGGGUUUAAAGGGAGCGUAGGCGGAUGUUUAAGUCAGUUGUGAAAGUUUACAGCUCAACUUUGAAAUUGCCGUUGAUACUGGAAGUCUUGAGUGCAUUUAAUGUGGGCGGAAUGUGUCAUGUAGCGGUGAAAUGCUUAGAUAUCACAUAGAACACCAAUUGCGAAGGCAGCUUAC